rnacentral:lncRNA from 1 species
AUAGGAAUUAAUUCGAUUUAAUUAAGCAUUUUUGGUGAGCAUUUAAUCUAGUAAAUAAAAUAGUUUUGGUCAAAAUAUACAAUUCAUUAUAAGUUUAGAAACAUGGUGGUGCAUUCAUGCUGCGAUUAAUUUAUUUAUUUACUUGCUUGCUUGUUUUUGUCUAUGUAUUUUGUAUUUCUCCCAUAAGGAUUUAAAAUCUCUUAUCAAAAAGACUUUAGAAAACAAAGGAGAAAUAGGAAAAAGAAAACAGAAAAGAAAAAAAAAACAGAAAGCCAGCGCCCAGCCAGUUCACCCCCUCACCCUGGCCCACUUCCGCUAUCGGCCCGAGAAAGGUCCAGCGGCCAGGCCGCCUGCGCGCUCACCCGUUUCCCCCUCCAUGGCCCGCUGACGGCCGGGGCCCACCCGUCAGCCGCGCCCCUUUCCCCUACCUCCCGCCGUGUUCGACGUGGGCUCUGUGCAGCCGUUUCCAAUCGCGAAAGCAGCGGGAUCUCCUUGCUUUUUUCGCCAACCAACGUCCUAUAAAGUUUCCCCUCCAAAGCCGUAGCCUCUGUUUGCAUCGAAGUCGCAAAAAGCAAGCCCUAGACGCCCCAGUGAAGCUUGGUUGGAUCUCACCGGGGCCGACCUUGUCCUUCUCCGUGGUGCGCGCGUCUCCGUUCUCUCUCGGACCCAACCAAGCGCUUAGACGAGAUCGUGGUGAGCUCCUCUUCAUCCCGGUGUUUUCCUUUCGCGAAACGGUGCUCGGAAUCGAGAAGUCCGUCGUCGCCGGCGAGCUCCUUCCGGCCGGCAAUGGAGCCACCGCACCGGAGCUGGUGACGGCCGGUUGAAAAAAAAAAUGCUUUUUCUGCUAUUUACAAGAUUACCACUGAUUUUGUUUUGCUCAUAAAAUAUUCGUUUUAACUCCGUUUUUAUCCAUUCAAAUUGCGUCAGGUUCGUAAUUAUAUGCUCUACAUGUUAGAAAUAUUAGUUUACUGUUUUGAAACUUUUUAAUUCUGCAGUAGCAUUUAAUUAAUUAUUUCUCUAUAGGAAAUCUUAGAAAAUUCAUAUCUUUCACGUUUUAAUUCCGAUUUUCGUGAACUUUACGUUUGUGUGAUCGUAGCGCUGCGUAGAAUAUUUUGAUAAACUUUUAUAUUUGUUUUACCACUGUUUGGUGUAAUGUUCUAAUUAUACCUUGUUUGCUUUGUGUAUGAUUGUCUCCAUUGGAUUGCGUGUUGUUGAUUGAUGUUUGGGAAUAGACGGUGAGCUGUACGUUGGUGAUCAAGACCUAGCUUUUGAGGACCAGCAGGCUCAGGAGAGCUUUGAGCAAGACAAGUAUAACUUGGGAUCAUCCUUGUUACCUAUUCACUUAUAACUACACAUAUAUAUCAUAUGCAUGCUAUCACCUUGUCGACCUUAGCAAAAUCAUAGAUGAUUGUUACCUGGAUUCCUUGUUACCUACUUGAUAUGCAUUUGGUGUAGAUGUGCUAGUGCUUGAUAUAAUCCAUGAUCUUGUAAGAUGAUUAAUAGAUAUGCAAUGAACAUAAAAGAAUGACAAAUAACUGUAUGAGAUCUUGUCUGUAAGUGAUCACUGGGACAACAGUGCAACCAUGAGGGCUAUAAUGGCUCUGGCUUUAGCUCAGUAUGAAGACCUUUUCUAGCUUGUUAGAGGUUACCCGAAAGGGCGGAGGGGCUGAACCGACACGGGUAUAGUGCGAGCCCCUGUCCCUAUGUGUAUAGGCUGCGCGUCAUUGUGCCAUUCGGAAGGGGGGUAUCUAUAUCUGCUCGCAAAGGAAACCUUGCGGCCCUAACAUGUUAGACGAACUUUUGAAAGGCUUCAUAGUGAUCCCUGCCGACCUCCCUAGGAAGGGGGUUAAGAGACUAGCUACCUCGGGCGAAAGGGUAAAUCAUGACUCAUGGGUAAAGAUGUACAACCUCUGCAGAGUGUAAAACUGGUAUACUAGCCGUGCUCACGGUUAUGAGCGGCCUUGGGGGUUCUUGCUGCGCCGACGAUGAGCUUAUUAAGUUGUUAUGUUCAUUUGAUUAUCGUUUAUGCUAUGAAUUAAUUAUGCUUACACUUGAUCAUGUGAUUGAUGGAUUAUUUCUACUACCUUGACAUUUGCUAUUUAAUUAUGAAUAUGCCACCCACUAUUAAAAGCUAAAUGCAGUCAAACCAGUGUCAGCUAUUUGAGCCUCAUGAACCCCUGGUUAUACUUGUUGAGUACGAUAUGUGCUCACUCUUGCAAUUUCCCAACACCUCAGGUUAUGAUAAUGAAGAUGACUGGAAUGAGGAUUAUCGUUAUGAGUACUAGGUUUGGAGUCAACCAGUCAACAGUGUCCCUGUGUGGAGCUUCCGUCGAGAGCGUUGUUUACUUUAUGCUAUCAUUUUUGUAUGAGACUAUGUGAUUCAAUAUAUAUUUCGCUAUGUAAUAAACACUGCAAUGGUACAUUUGAGAUUUGUCUACUUAUGUGUGCGACUAUUCCUGGGGCACAUAUGAGUCUUUUAUGCAUCCUAUUUUGUUCUUAAAAUAUGGGUCUGACAAAUUGGUAUCAAAGCUUUGUUGACUGUCGGACGCAAGCCUAGUUAGAAAUUGGCCGUCAUAAGGUUUUGAAAUUGCUAUAAAAUCCUGGUUCUAUAAACCUUGAUAUUUUCUUCUACACUAUAUCCUAUUCAUCUUCACCUUGUUGCUUAUCUUAAAGACUUGUUCUCAUCCCCACUCCUUGCUUUGAAUAUGCUUUUAGAACCUUCUCUUACCACCUGCUUACAUAGUUGAAAGAGAAUUUUAGGAAUCUUUGCCCUUAAUAGGAAGAGAACGAUAGUACCGCAAGUUGAGUUAAUGCUUGAAAUGUGAACCUUUGAUGCUUCGUUUGGUUUGUUAUUAUGCUUAUGCUUGAUUUGGAUCUUUGUAAUGAGUGCAAUGAUCUUGUGGAUUUCCUCUACAAUUUCAUUUAGUUUAUAGGCUUAAGGCAUAAGGAUUAAUGAACUAAAUAGUUGGGGUUGGUUAAAAUUCUGUUUCUGUCCUUUGCUGUUUUAUGGAGCAGUCUGCAAUGAAUCUGGUAUAUCUCAAAAUCUGUUCAUGCAAUGUCCAUCAAAUUUUUCUGGGAACAAGUAGACUUCCAUAUUUUUCCAAUGCCGCAAGAAUGACCAUAUCAUCGAUUACGAGCUGAGAGUUAUGACUGUUUCAAGUUGAGGUUUCUGCGCAGUCUGGAAUUCUGGAACAGUUUCGGUUGUACCCAGUUUUUGGUUAACCUCACGUUGGAAUCUGGUAAUAUGAUCUAAAUGAAAGUUGUAGACAAUUUCUUUAUCUUUCCAACGGUGUACCGCAUGUAUCCUUUUGAAUUCUGGAACUCGAGAUAUUACUGAUUUUCUGAUCUGCUGAUGUUGGAUGUUACUCAGAAAAUUUCAGAUUCGGUUAACUCUUGUAAUUGUCAUGUUGGACAUUACUAAGAUGUGUUUAUAUACCUUGGAAUGCAGAUGGCAGCAAGGGGAAGAGGCAGAGGCAGAGGCCGUGGCAAUAGUGACAAUGCCCCAAUUACUGUGGAGGAACUUAUGCAAACUCAGAAUCAGAUGAUGCACGUCUUCAUGCAACACCUACAACAACAACCUCCACCAACACCACCACCUGUUCAUGUGAGAGAUAAGCGGGGGGAAUUCAUGAAGGGAAGACCUCCGGUAUUUACACACUCAGCGGAUCCCAUGGAGGCGGAUGAUUGGUUACAUGCUGUGGAGAGGCAACUGAACAUAGCACAGUGCAAUGAUUUGGAGAAGGUGUUGUAUGCAUCUGGACAGCUUCAGGGAGCAGCCCAAACAUGGUGGGAGUCAUAUCAAGCUGCUCGUCCCAACAAUGCUCCUCCUGUCACGUGGCUGGAAUUCUGUAGAGACUUUAGAGCACGACAUAUCAAUGAAGGAAUGAUGGAGCUCAAGCAGGAAGAAUUCAGAUCUCUCAGGAUGGGUUCUAUGUCUGUGGCUGAGUAUCAUGACAUGUUUGAGCAGUUGGCUCGCUAUGCUCCAAACGAAGUCAGAGAAGAUGCUGACAAACAACGUCUCUUCAUGAAAGGUCUUUACUAUGAACUCAGAUUGCAACUGGCUGGAAAUACCUACCCUACAUUCCAGGCUCUGGUGAACCGUGCUAUUGUGUUGGAUAACAUGCGUAAAGGUCAAGAUAAGAAGAGAAGAAUGUUAGCCCAAGGUUCUGGAGGCAACAACCGCCAACGUUUCAAUUCUCAGCAGGGCGAUCAACAGAGGUACCAUGGACCAGUUAGUCAAGGGGAUCGCAACCAACAAUCUCAGCGUAAUCCUAAUCAACAACAGAGUGGACAACAGACUUCUCGCUCGGGAAAUUCAAAUGCCACCUCUAUGAAGAGAAGUGCUUCCAAUACCCCUACUAGGUGUUUUCGCUGUGGGAAAGAAGGUCAUAUGUCAUAUGAUUGCCCGGAGAGAUUCAACCAGCGGAACAACAAUCAAAAGUCUAAUUCUCAUGGAGCAAAGGUGAACCAUGUGGCUGCAGAGACAGUACAAGAGGGACCGGAGAUUAUGAUGGGUACGUUCAGUAUCAACUCUAUUCCCGCUACAGUUUUAUUUGAUUCUGGAGCUUCGCAUACAUUCAUAUCACAAGCAUUUGUUAGAGCUCAUAGCAUACCACUAGUUGCCCUGAAAACCCAUAUGCUAGUAAACUCACCGGGAGGGACUAUACCAGUUUCAUAUUGUUGCCCCUCAGCAAGUCUUUCUUUAAGGGGGGUAGAUUUCCCUGUUAGUCCCAUGGUUAUGAGAACCUCAGGCAUAGAUGUGAUAUUGGGUUUGGAUUGGAUGAAGGAAUAUGCUACGGAAAUUAAGUGCAAGGAGAAAGUAGUAGUUGUGACCACACCCAAGGGAGAGAGAAUCAGUGUGGACGUAGCAGUACAAGCUCCACCCACAGCCACAGUGAAUCAUUUAGAGGAUGAUGGUGUUGAUCUUCAGGACUGUGUAGGGAAUAAAUUUCUAAGUGACUUUUCAGAAAAACCACGAGGUAUGCUACCUAACCAGAGAUGUUGAGAUUGCUAGUACAAUGGAAUUGGUAUUUAGAGGUAGAAGCGACUUGAGAAGGAGAAGAUGUUUGGAGAGAAUUAAAUCCGCAGUUGUUUGUUUAUGCACUGCUCAAUCUCGAGGACGAGAUUCUUUUAAGGGGGUAGAAUUUGUAACAUCCAAAAAUUUGUUUUCAAUUAAUAGGAAUUAAUUCGAUUUAAUUAAGCAUUUUUGGUGAGCAUUUAAUCUAGUAAAUAAAAUAGUUUUGGUCAAAAUAUACAAUUCAUUAUAAGUUUAGAAACAUGGUGGUGCAUUCAUGCUGCGAUUAAUUUAUUUAUUUACUUGCUUGCUUGUUUUUGUCUAUGUAUUUUGUAUUUCUCCCAUAAGGAUUUAAAAUCUCUUAUCAAAAAGACUUUAGAAAACAAAGGAGAAAUAGGAAAAAGAAAACAGAAAAGAAAAAAAAACAGAAAGCCAGCGCCCAGCCAGUUCACCCCCUCACCCUGGCCCACUUCCGCUCUCGGCCCGAGAAAGGUCCAGCGGCCAGGCCGCCUGCGCGCUCACCCGUUUCCCCCUCCAUGGCCCGCUGACGGCCGGGGCCCACCCGUCAGCCGCGCCCCUUUCCCCUACCUCCCGCCGUGUUCGACGUGGGCUCUGUGCAGCCGUUUCCAAUCGCGAAAGCAGCGGGAUCUCCUUGCUUUUUUCGCCAACCAACGUCCUAUAAAGUUUCCCCUCCAAAGCCGUAGCCUCUGUUUGCAUCGAAGUCGCAAAAAGCAAGCCCUAGACGCCCCAGUGAAGCUUGGUUGGAUCUCACCGGGGCCGACCUUGUCCUUCUCCGUGGUGCGCGCGUCUCCGUUCUCUCUCGGACCCAACCAAGCGCU